UGAGAAGUUAACAUUGAUGGAGGGUAGAGGUCGGAAGUGUUAGCGUAGGCUAACGAUCUGGAAGUAUCCGACUUGGAGAUCGAAAAUUAUCCUUGAGAGGUUGUACUGGAUCUCAAUGACGAUUUGCUUGAACUAGAUGUCAUAUUAUUAAGAAGCUAUACCGGACAGCCCAGCUUCACUGUCACCGGCGCUGUCACCGCAGAACCCACCACCACCACCACCCCCAAGUGGCCGCACCAAGCACAAGC